GAUGAACGCUGGCGGCGUGCCUAAUACAUGCAAGUCGAGCGAACGGACGAGGAGCUUGCUUCUCUGACGUUAGCGGCGGACGGGUGAGUAACACGUGGAUAACCUACCUAUAAGACUGGGAUAACUUCGGGAAACCGGAGCUAAUACCGGAUAAUAUUUUGAACCGCAUGGUUCAAUAGUGAAAGACGGUCUUGCUGUCACUUAUAGAUGGAUCCGCGCUGCAUUAGCUAGUUGGUAAGGUAACGGCUUACCAAGGCAACGAUGCGUAGCCGACCUGAGAGGGUGAUCGGCCACACUGGAACUGAGACACGGUCCAGACUCCUACGGGAGGAAGCAGUAGGGAAUCUUCCGCAAUGGGCGAAAGCCUGACGGAGCAACGCCGCGGGAGGGAUGAAGGUCUUCGGAUCGUAAAACUCUGUUAUUAGGGAAGAACAAAUGUGUAAGUAACUGUGCACGUCUUGACGGUACCUAAUCAGAAAGCCACGGCUAACUACGUG
rnacentral:rRNA from 1 species